UACAGAGGGUGCGAGCGUUGUCCGGAAUCAUUGGGCGUAAAGAGCUCGUUAGGCGGUUUGUCGCGUCGGCUGUGAAACUACGGCGGCACCCGACCGCCUGCAGUCGAUACGGGCAGACUAGAGUGCUGUAGGGGAGACUGGAAUUCCUGGUGUAGCGGUGAAAUGCGCAGAAUAUCAGGAGGAACACCGGUGGCGAAGGCGGCAUCCUGGACCGGCAUUGACGCUGAGGCGCGAAAGCCAGGGGAGCAAACGGG
rnacentral:rRNA from 1 species